AAAUAAGGCUAUAGCCUUAACGUUUCGUCCAUUUUUAGCCACUGUCUUCAAUUUUGAAAGAAGCGAAAAAUAAGGCUAUAGCCUUUACUUUUUGUCCAUUUUUAGCCACUUUUUUCAUUUCUGAAAAGGGCAAAAACGUAAGGCUAUAGCCUUAACUUUUCGUCCAAUUUUAGCCACUUUUUUCAUUUUUAAAAAAAAAGGGAAAAAACGACCAAAAAGUAUAAAGAUUUAAAGGCUAUAAUAGCCUUUACUUUUCUCACUACAAUUUUGCCACUUUUUUCAUUUUUCAAAAAGAGGCGAAAAACGACCCAAAAGUAAGGCUAUAUAGCCUUUACUUUUAGUCCAAUUUUAGCCACUUUUUCAUUUUUGAAAAAGGGUCAAACAGAGGAAAAAAACGACCAAAAAGUAAGGCUUUUAUUAUUAAUAAGCUUUAUUUGGAUGACCUAACAUGAAAGUUGACUAGUAUAAAAACUACUUUAACGAAAAACAAUAUACUGCUAUUUACAUGAAUUAUAUAUCAAAUAGGGAGGAUAUAUGGCAAAUAUAAAUAUCAAAAUUUAAGAAUAGAAAAAUUGAAUUUGGAAAGAAUAUAAUAUAGAAAAGGGAAGGUAAAGUAAUAUAAUAUAUCGGGUAUACAGGUGCUUUUUCGCGCCGCUACGGACGUCUAGCCUCAGCCUAUGGCUCGACGUUCGAACUAGACGUCGAAAAUGCUGGAGUGUACCCAGGGGCGUAGGAAC